AUAGAACAUUAAAUUGAAAAGAUUUGGCUGUAUUUUUAAAAAUUAGAGGAAUUUGUAGKGUAAUUGAUAUUACACGAUAAGAUAUACUUUUUGAUUUAUGUAUUGCUGUUUAUAAAAAUUAUUUAAUAUUUUUUUAAAUUUUAAUUUAAUUAUAUUUCAAGUCAAAAUGUAGUUUUUAAAAGUUAUGGAUUACAGUUUAYUAUGGAAAAKGGAUUUAAAAGUAA
rnacentral:rRNA from 1 species